CAAGGGCAAUCGGGAGAAGAAGACUCUUUUCCACCAUUCGGGUUUAAGGCCUUUCUCAUAUAGGAUGUAGGCGUGGCAGAAGGAGGGUUCAAAUUUCCCGGAGAUCGAUGUCUUUGCUAACGUUUAUGUUCGGCCUGGGAUGAGUUGACCGAGUUACUUCUUGCAAGCGACUAUGGUGGAGAAGGGUUAGUUGCUUCAGGAGUUCGCCUCCCAGCUUCCCUAGGACACGCCAAUCGAUCUGUGGAUCCCUCUGAAGAUGCGGGGUUUCACAUCCUUACAGAGACGUUCAACCACACUUUUGGUCGGACGCAAGGGACAUAUUGUCGGGGGUUGGGAAAUGCCAGGUGGAGGGAGAGUAGAGCAUCUUCAUCCUUGCAAUCGAAGGGCGAGGUUAUGGCUUUAACGCAGGAAGUCGCUAGCAUGAGGAGUGAGCUUGCAUCGUACAUGUCUUAAAUGUGAAUGCUUGUACAAGCCCUUAGUUCCUCCGGGAUCCGUCUCCCCAGUUUUUUUGCACCACGACCGUCAGAGCCCCUCCACACCGUGCAUACACAGCAAUCAGGCCCGUCGACCUUCGACCCCGUCCCUAACCCCACCUUCUUCUAGCAGCAAGAUUACCAAGCACCUCUAAAUGACUUGCGUAUAGACUAUUCCUUAUUUUUUUCAUAGUUUUUGUUCCCUCUUUCUUUUUAAACUUUGUAUUUGUUUG